rnacentral:rRNA from 1 species
UACGGGGGGAGCAAGCGUUGUUCGGAUUUACUGGGCGUAAAGGGCGCGUAGGCGGUCAGCACAAGUCAGUUGUGAAAUCUCCGGGCUUAACCCGGAAAGGUCAACUGAUACUGUGCGACUAGAGUGCGGAAGGGGCAACUGGAAUUCUCGGUGUAGCGGUGAAAUGCGUAGAUAUCGAGAGGAACACCUGCGGCGAAGGCGGGUUGCUGGGCCGACACUGACGCUGAGACGCGAAAGCCAGGGGAGCAAACGGG